AUAAUUUUAUUUCACUACACAAACUUUAAAGUACAAAAUAUAAAUAAAAAAAAAGUUAAUUUCAUACGGAUCUCUCCAAACACAAUAAAUUACAAAUAUAUUCCUAUAAAAUUUAAUUUUCAUAUAUUAUUUCUAUAAAAAUUUUAAUAUUUUCAAAUAUGUUAAUCUGAUUUGUUACCGUUAAAGCACUAUUUAUUUUAUAAGUGAAAUAAUUUUUUUACCAUCACAAAUAUAUCCCUCCAAAACUUUCAACUGUUAAUUAAAGAGGGGUAAAAAGAUUAACUCACCUUAUUAGCUAACUAGGGUUAAAUAUUUUACCCAUGAUUAACUAAUUUUUUCUAACGGAUCUUAACAUUAGAAAUAUAUUUAAAAAUAUCAGAACUUUUAAAAGGACAACAUGCGAAGGUUAAAUUUUAUAAAAAGAUAUUUACAGCUCACUAUGUUUGAAAGAAUCUGUAUGAAAUUAAUCCAAAAAAACCCCUCCUUCCCUCUUAUAUGAAAUUAACCCAAAAAAAAAACUCUCAUAACCUCUUAUAGCCAUAUA
rnacentral:lncRNA from 1 species